UAAUCUAAUUAUGCCUUUAAUGCA
rnacentral:siRNA from 1 species